AUGGCAACGCAGGGCGACUCAAUGAGCUCAAUGAUGGAGGCGGAAGACCGGGUAGUUUGGUGCUCCUUUUUGCACUGCCAGUGCCAUGAUUUCACCUCGUGGAGCUCCCGAGGAUCAGUGCAAAGGAAUGAUGAUGGAUGGUGUUGUAACUAUCAGGCCGAUUAUAUACACCGUGUUUUUGUUUAUCCCCGUUGGGCUCCGCGCUGCACAGUUGCUUACCAUGUUGUUGUCGUUGUUUUGCGCUUAGUGCUUUUUAAUAGUGUUUGUGUUUACCUAGGCACAUAUUACGAGAUCACUAAUCGAGGGCACCCUUUGCAAUGA
rnacentral:rRNA from 1 species